rnacentral:rRNA from 1 species
ACGCUCGACACCUACGGGAAGCAGCAGUGGGGAAUAUUGCACAAUGGGGGAAACCCUGAUGCAGCGACGCCGCGUGAAGGAAGAAGUAUCUCGGUAUGUAAACUUCUAUCAGCAGGGAAGAAAGUGACGGUACCUGACUAAGAAGCCCCGGCUAACUACGUGCCAGCAGCCGCGGUAAUCUGAGCGGGCUGGCAAGGC